GAAAGAUGAAAAGGUAGAAACUAAAGAAGGAACUAAAUAAGACAAAGAUAUAAAAGGAAAAAAUUAUUUCUGAGUAAGAGAAACUGAGGCUGGGGCACAGCAGGGUCUCCUCCUGCAAGACUCCUGGCUCCUUUUGCCUCCACUCCCCCAUCGUCAACUCCGUCGGAUCCAGGGGUCCUUUCUCCUAGGGCAGAAACAACAGGAGUCCAAACGUUUCAGAAUGAGAACCAUCCGUGAUGUCGUGCGUGGGAAAUGACAUGCCAGCGCCCAGGCGUCUGUGGUCCUGAAGAGAGCGCGCAGGGCAUCCCGGCUCACUGGGGAUUCCUUUGGCUUGCCUCAUUAAUCAGCUCCCCUGGUCAUCAGUACGUCUUGCCUCAGGCUCACAGACGCCUGUGGAUUGACGUCAUCCAAAAAGAAGGCGACCGUUUUCCCUCCUUCCAAACAGAAAAUGCAGCUUUCGAAACUAAUAAACCCCUUAAAGUUCAUGAGCCCACUUCAACCUUUUUAAAUGUCUAGUUUUUGAAGAGAAAAGGAAAAAGAAGAGGCAAUAACUGCAUCUGAGGCUGUUUCACUGCAGGAGAGAGAAGCUCUCAGAGAAUGACUCUAUCCCUCCCCCUACCAAGGUCCAAGCUCCAAGCUCCAAGCUCCAAGGUCACAGUCAUGAACCCAAAGGAAGAAAGACCUCGAUCUGGGGACCUGUCUCAGAAGCCCAGGUGGGAAGGAGAAACUGACUGAACGUGCUGGAGGGAGGGAUAUAGCGGAAGGGGUAGGUUCUGAAGGAGGUGAGAAUCCAGGGAUCAAAAUCAAAUAGGAGGGAUUGGGUUCUGACUCCACAGCUGGGAACAUGAGAGGAAUAGCAGAGAGGGGAGACCCUCUGGGGAUACAGCCUCAGCCUCAGCUGCCUUCUCUAUAAGCAUGAACUGAAUGUGGAGGUAACCACGGAGUUCUAGAUGGUUGGGAGGGCUUGAAGGGCGCCAUGAAGGACUCUAAAGGAAUCAAUAAAAGACAGGAAUCAGGGCUGACCCUAUCACCGAUGGUUUGGGACAUCCACAUGGAGCAGGGGCUCUAUCCAGUAACUCCUAGGGUGGAGUCAAUGUCCCCCGUCUUCUCCUCAGAGGACUCUGGCUGAUCAUCUGCUCAGGCAUUAGGUUCAUUCUGCUUCCAGCUUUGAGCCAAACACACAGUAGAGAGAUAUGUGGAAGUCUAGAGUGGAAUCUGCUCAGUGAAUAAAUGGAUGGGUGAGUUAGCUAAUAUAUGAGCGGACAAAUGAGUGACUGGGGAUCACUCCAUAACUUCUGUCGUCCUUCAGGAAGUUAGGUGCCUUGUCUCCUCAAAUGUCAAGAAUGUGCAACGCCCAACAAUCAGGGGUGCCUGCAAUGCUGCUGCACGGGUGUACAAGGGACCCAGGUGAUAUCUUUGCCUCCAAACUGGCACGUCCUCAGGAAGCAGACCUUUCUAAUAACAGUUGAGAAGUCUCUCUCGCCUUUUCUCUCUUAGUUCCUUAGAUUUGAGAAUUACAGAAAACUAAAGAGAUCCCCCCAAAAUUGUCAUACCUCCACCUCAUGGCUCAUUGAGGAGGCUUUGAAAUUUAGCUAAUAACAGCAACCUUGACAGGGAGUCGAAUUUACCCUCUCCGCUCUGGCAGAUACUCUUGUAACACUUAACUGUCCGAAUUGCUUUUCUAUCACUGUGGUAAAGAAUCAUGAUCAAGGUUUUCCUUGACACAUCGUGCUCAAGGAUAGUGCUAGAGAGCUCUGGGGGCAAAAGCUUCCUAUCCCCCGGGGAGGUACACUCCCUUCUCAAUGGAAAGGCAGGAAUCAAAGAUCAAGGUCAUGAUAGCGGAAAAGACAGUCAUGAAUCAACCCAUUCUUGACCUAAGCUAAGAACACAUGGGGUCAGCUGCCACCCGAUGUGUCCCCUGCCAUUUGAACUCUCUGUGUGUACUCCACUAUGAAGUUCUACUCUGGGACACAGUCAAGUCAAACAUCUUUGGGCUCAAAGUAAAACCACUUAAACAAAAUCACGACAGCUUAUCAACUCCUAUUUAGAGGUAAAAGCGCCUCAGAGGGAAGUAUCCCAAGUAGAGGGAGAAUUUAGAGAAUAUUUCCCACAUGGUUUGUUUUGAAAGACAGGAAGCCCAGAGUAAACACCCUACAGCCCUUGGGGGCCAAAAAAAGGGGGGUCUAAGCCUGAGUUUAACCUUUUGGGUGCUGGAGUGGGCUGUAGAGCUGUCAGUGGGCAGGAAAGAUCACACAGCUGGAACCUGGCUCUGUCCUGGAGCUGGAUGACAUAACUCAGCAAGUGUGUCAGAUCUUCUUCCGAUUUCUGUUUGUCUUUUGUUUUGAUGGCCAAGAGUUAUCUAGCUUCUAUUCAUUUUUUUUUAACCUCCAUGGUGGCUAUGAUCAUUAAGUUCUGUGCUCUCACGUUUGUGCAAAUUAAAACCCAUAUUUCACUAGUGAACAGACUCAGCGCCUGCUGGAAAUGUAAAAACACUAGUAAUAAGAAGAAUAAUCGCAAUAACAACUUUUUCUUUAUUUCUUUUUAAAAUUGCCAGGGCCACUGGGGGUGGGGGUGGGGUGGCAGCGGCACACCUUUAAUCCUAGUUGUGCGGCAGAGUCAAAUGACUUUCUGUGAGUUGGAAGCCAGCCUGGUCUACAGAGCAAGUUCCAGGACAACCAGUGCUGUUACAUAAUGAGACCCUGUCUUGGGAGGGAAACCCAAUUGCCAAGGCCUAAAACCUGAUUACCCAACUCACUCAGAAGACACUAAGAGAAAGGGCAUUGAGAUUUUUCUUCACCAAAGCUAUAGGCCUUUUUGCCUCUGUGAAAUCUGCAUCUGGAAAAGCCAGCACCAAGAUGCCCAUGCCAAAAGUCAAAUUUCGCGUGACUUUAGUCAGUCAUGUUCCAGCUGUGGCAACAAGAGGGUCUUCCAGGCCUCUUAUCCGGCAAGCAAACUGGUGCGUAAAACUAACAGAGCCGUCUUAACUCCCAAGGAAAUUUAAGAAGAGAGUGAGUCAACCCUUCUGGAGAUAGAGACUUCUUGCUGGGCUUUGGCUGGGACAUCAUCGACUUCAACUGUAAGGGAAGGUCUUUCCCACGGAAGUGCAACCAUGGCAUUUGCUGCUGAAUUCAAAGCAAGAGCAAUGUAGUAAACAUUUGGAAACAACCCCACACACACUUGGAUUUAUUGACUAGUUAAAUCUUUAAUGGUUAAAGUUAAAAGACCCUUUAUUUCAAUGGCCUGGUGAUUUGCACAGCUGGAAUGUUGCCUUUUAAUAUAUUCACAUUGCAACAGAAAAGCCAGAGUGACCAGGAUGCUGACUUUCUUGUUUGCUUGGCCCCAAACCGAUCGGAAGCUAGCACCAGAUCCUUCCUUGCAUCUGGGCUCCCCUCUUCACCCCAAGCUAAGUACAGAGAGGGAAGAGGAAACACACUGCCUGGGGCUAUCCCAGGUCUCCACCCCAUGAUGCUGAGAAAUUAAGGAAUGCUUAGGGGGCUGCCUCCUCAGAGCCUCGCUCUCUGGGUCAUUCCUGCUUGGGUGAGUGGUCUGGCCAACACUGCCUAAGGGACUGCACAUGAUUCUCUGGAAACUGACCAUGUGGUGAAAGAAGAAUAAAAGACGUCAACAGAAGAACAGGGUGUGCUGGACAGUUUCGUGUCAACUUAACUCAAACUAGAGUCAUCUGAAAGGAGGGAGCCUCGAUUAAGAAAAUCCCUGCAAAAGACCUGACUGUAGGCAAGCCUGUGGGGCAUUUUUAAAUUAGUGACUGAUGGGAGAGGCCCUGUCUAUUGUGGGUGGUGUCACCUCUGGGCUGGUGGUCCUGGGUUCUAUAAGAAAGCAGGUUGAACAAGUCAUGAGGAGCAAAGCAGCAACCCUACAUGGCCUCUGCAUCAGCCCCUGCCUCCAGGCUCCUGCCCUGUGUGAGCUCCUGUCCUGACUGACUUCAAUGAUAGACUACAGUGUGGAAAUGCAAGCUAAAUAAACCCU
rnacentral:lncRNA from 1 species